GGGUGCGGCCGGAGCGGCUCCCGGUGUUUGACGAGGAGUGCUGGCAGCUGAUGGAGGCGUGCUGGGACGGGGACUCCUCGCAGCGGCCCCUGCUGGGGAUCGUGCAGCCCAUGCUGCAGGGAAUCAUGGACAGGCUCUGCCGGCCGCCCCCCGAGCACCCCCACAAGGGCCUGGAUGACUCCACCUGAGCGGGAACCGGCGCAGGAUUGCGGGAAUUGAGGCGGGAAUUGGGCAAUUCCAGCCCCGGCCCUGCUGCGGAGCUGCGGGGACAGGGAGGGGCUCCGGGGGGGACGGCUCCAUCCCUAUGGAAUUGUGUGGGACAGGGGGGUGACAGCUCCAUCCCAAUCCCACCCUAUGGAAUUGUUUGGGAUGGGGAGGGGCUCCGGGGGGCACAGCUCCAUCCCUAUGGAAUUGUUUGGGAUGGGGAUAACAGCUCCAUCCCAGUCUUGUUAUCCCUAUGGAAUUGUGUGGGACGGGGAGGGGCUCCAGGGGGGACAGCUCCAUCCCAAUCCUAGCCUGUUAUCCCUAUGGAAUUGCUUGGGACAGGGGGUGACAGCUCCAUCCCAGUCCCACCCUAUGGAAUUGUUUGGGAUGGGGAUAACGGCUCCAUCCCGAUCCCGGUAUCCCUAUGGAAUUGUUUGGGAUGGGGAUAACAGCUCCAUCCCAAUCUUGGUAUCCCUAUGGAAUUGUGUGGGACAGGAGGUGACAGCUCCAUCCCAAUCCUGGUAUCCCUAUGGAAUUGUUUGGGAUGGGGAGGGGCUCCAGGGGGGACAGCUCCAUCCCUAUGGAAUUGUGUGGGGCAGGGGGGUGACAGCUCCAUCCCGGUCCUGGUAUCCCUAUGGAAUUGUUUGGGAUGGGGAUAACAGCUCCAUCCCAAUCUUGGUAUCCCUAUGGAAUUGUGUGGGACAGGGGGGUGACAGCUCCAUCCCAAUCCCACCCUAUAGAAUUGUUUGGGAUGGGGAUAACAGCUCCAUCCCAAUGCCACCCUAUGGAAUUGUGUGGGAUGGGGGACUGGGUGACAGCUCUGUCCCAAUCCUAGCCUGUUCUCCCUAUGGAAUUAUUUGGGACAGGGGGGGACUCAUGGGGAUAACAGCUCCAUCCCAAUCCUUUUAUCCCUAUGGAAUUCUGUAGGACAGGGGGUGACAGCUCCAUCCCAAUCCCACCCUGUUAUCCCUAUGGAAUUCUGUGGGACAGGGGGUGACAGCUCCAUCCCAAUCCCACCCUGUUAUCCCUAUGGNAUGUGAGCAGAGCAUUCUCUUUAAAUUCCUGAUAUUCCUGGUGAUUCCCUGUGCCACCCAACUGCUCUACCUGCUUUCCUUGGAAAUUCCUGGCAUUCCUGGUGAUCCUGAUGUGCCAUCCAACCCCAUUCACCUGCUUUCCCUAGAAAUUCCUGGUGAUCUCUCUGUGCCACCCAACCCCUCAAUGUGCUUUCCCUGGAUAUGGUCAGGGCAUUCCCUGGAAAUUCCAGGUGAUAUCUCUGUGACACCCAAACCCUUCACCUGCGUUCCCUAGAAAUUCCUGGUGAUCCUGCUGUGCCACCCAACCUCUCCACCUGCUUUCCCUGGAUGUGAGCAGGGCUUUCCUUGGAAAUUCCUGAUAUUCCUGGUGAUCCCUCUGGGCCACCCAACCCCUCCACCUGCUUUCCCUGGAAAUUCCUGGUGAUCCCCUGUGGAUCCUCUGUGGAUUCCUGGUGAUCUCCCUGUGCCACCCAACCAAUGUGAGCAGGGUUUUCCCUGGAAAUCCCUGGUAUUCCUGGUGAUCCCUCUGUGCCACCCAACCUCUCCACCUGCUUUCUUUGGAUGUGAGCAGAGCAUUCCCUGGAAAUUCCAGGUGAUAUCUCUGUGACACCCAAACCCUUCACCUGCUUUCCCUAGAAAUUCCUGGUGAUCCUGCUGUGCCACCCAACCUCUCCACCUGCUUUCCCUGGAUGUGAGCAGAGCAUUCUCUUUAAAUUCCUGAUAUUCCUGGUGAUUCCCUGUGCCACCCAGCUGCUCUACCUGCUUUCCUUGGAAAUUCCUGGCAUUCCUGGUGAUCCUGAUGUGCCAGCCAACCCCUCCACCUGCUUUCCUUGGAAAUUCCUGGUGAUCCCCUGUGCCACCCAACCUCUCCACCUGCUUUCCCUGGAUAUGGGCACCAUUUCCCUGUA
rnacentral:lncRNA from 1 species